AUGUCAUAUGUGAGACUGGAUUCACCAUCACCACGAAAAAGGGAGAGAGAAGGGCUAAUAAAAUCCGCACAAGCAAAUCGGAGUUACUAUGUGGACCGUGAAACCGGCGGCGAUGCCGAAUCAAUUUCUUAUGAGACCCACCGUAGCAACUUCUGUCGGCUAUUCACAGCCACCACCACCGCAUAAUGUUAUGAUCGAGAAUUCUUCUGAAAUUUUCUGAGCUCAAUUUCUUAAUUUGUGAAUUGAUUUGUGGCAAGAGCGACUCCAUGGGACUUGGAGCCAUCUCGUCUCUGCUACAUAUAUGUGGGCAAGAGCAGUGCUACUUAUGCAACAGGUAACUCCAGUGUUUUUCUUUGGGUUUUAGCUAAGAUUUUUAGGCUAUAUGAAUUGCAUUUGGUUUGGACUAUAUGUUAUCUGUGUGGAAUCGAAUCAAAAUUAUCAAUCUGGUUCGUCGGAGUUGGAUCAAUUGUGGAAGUGACAAUUGCUAG